UUCAAAAACAUGUCUUUUUGAAUUUAAUUUAAAGUCUAACCUGCCCACUGAAUUUUUAAAUGGCCGCAGUAUUAUGACUGUGCAAAGGUAGCAUAAUCAUUAGUUUUUUAAUUGAAGGCUGGAAUGAAUGGUUGAAUGAAAUAUAAACUGUUUCAUAUAAAUUUUAAGUAAAAUUUUAUUUUUUAGUUAAAAAGCUAAAAUAUAAUUAAAAGACGAGAAGACCCUAUAAAUCUUAAUAUUUAAUAAUUUAAUUUAUAUAGAUUAUUUAAAUUUAAAUAAAAAAAAAUAUUUUAUUGGGGUGAUAUUAAAAUGUAUAUAACUUUUAUUUAUAAUUUUACAUUGAUGUAUGGAUUGUUGAUCUAUAAUUUAUAAUUAUAAAAUUAAGUUACUUUAGGGAUAACAGCGUAAUUUUUUUAGAGAGUUCUUAUCGAUAAAAAAGAUUGCGACCUCGAUGUUGGAUUAAGGUAUAAAUUUAGGCGUAGUAGUUUAGAUUUUAAGUCUGUUCGACUUUUAAAUUCUUACAUGAUCUG
rnacentral:rRNA from 1 species